UUUUAACUUGGAGCCAAUCUUAAAAGCAAAUUAAGGAGUGAGCGCUCGUCAAAUCACUUGGAAAAGGCACACCCAGCUUUCGAGGGAGCGGCCUGGAGUCAGCACCAGGCAGAAAAGCUCGGGCGGGCCCUUGCCACACCACGCGGAGGCAGCGCGACUCCGGCCCUCCGGGUUUCGGUUAGACCGCAACAGGAAGUUUUCUCUUCCCUUGCGGGAAGCAAUGAAGCCAAAGAGAAAUUUGAACUCCCACCGGGGCACCGAGAGAACAUUCAAAUGAUGAGAAGGCGAGGAAUUUAUUGACUUUAUUAUCAACGUAUAACCCUGAGAGGAUAAGGAAACUGCAACGAUUCCACCACCUGCCUCUGGAAAUACACAUACAUCCUGCUGCACUGUAACAUGGAUCCUGAAAUGCCAUCAUAAUACAUUCUUUAUCUUAGGCUAAGGAGCUUCAUGUUUUAAAAUACAAACACACUGGAGAAUUAUUGCAUUAAAUGGUCUAUUAGAGUAUAACA